rnacentral:lncRNA from 1 species
UGAACUGCAUUGUGAUUUUUAAGUUGAGGUCUUUGGUUUCAUAAAAUGGCUAAUGUGAGAAGACUGUCAAGACAUUUGAUGUUGCAGAAAGCUGAUGCCAAGUCUCUGGGUGUGUGUGGAAGUAUCCGUGUGUGUCAAGUGGUUGAGAUAGCCCCUGCAGACCACCUCGUGCCCUAACAUUCCAAAUGCGGCUCAGACUUCCCAAGAACAGGCCAUCUUCUGUGGGAUGGGAGCUCUGGAGCAACGAUGUCCUGUGAGUCAGGGAUGAUGGCCUGGCUGAGCCGCACCGCGCAGGCGCUCUUCCCCAGCGCAGACGCCCUGCUCUGUCCUGACAGUCCCGCGUUGCCCUCAAUCUGAAGGUGCCCUUGCAGUCAGGUUGGAGCUACAGAAUUAUUUGCUGAUUUGCGUCCCCAGCCCUCUCCUUUUUUGUUGUUGUGGUAGCCUUGGAGGACUCUAUCCCAGAUGAUAAAAUACAAGAGCGAAAUUUUUGGACUCAUCCUGGUCUUUGUGUGCAUGAAAAAUAAAGUUGUAUUACGUUAAG